rnacentral:misc_RNA from 1 species
UUUCCGUAGGUGAACCUGCGGAAGGAUCAUUCAGAGUUCAUGCCCUCACGGGUAGAUCUCCCACCCUUGACUAUUUAUACCUUAGUUGCUUUGGCAGGCCGUGGAAACACCAUGGGCUCCGGCUUAUGCGUGCCUGCCAGAGGAAACAAACUCUGUUUUUAGUGAUGUCUGAGUACUAUAUAAUAGUUAAAACUUUCAACAACGGAUCUCUUGGUUCUG